AAACUCGGACUACAAUAAGCAU
rnacentral:sRNA from 1 species